UGCAGAAUCCCGUGAACCAUCGAGUCUUUGAACGCAAGUUGCGCCCGAAGCCGUCAGGCCGAGGGCACGUCUGCCUGGGCGUCACGC
rnacentral:rRNA from 3 species